CCGUUCUCAUUGGGGUGCUUGAACUUUCAGGCUGAGAAAUACCCAUAGAACCUGAUCUGAUUAAUAUCAGCGUAGGGAUUUGAGACAGUCAAUUUG
rnacentral:ncRNA from 2 species